UUACUCUGAUCUACCUCUGGGUAUUAAGGAACCAAAGGUGUAGAUUUGCAGAAAACUGUGGAAGCUGGAUACUUUAUUUCAAAAGUGCUAGGACGUAGUACUCAAUCUAAAGUUGGACAAGCAAUGAAGUCAUCAUUAUAAGAAGAGAAAACACGAUUUGAUUAUUUUCUUUGUGUGGCUACACCUAGGGGAUUCAUCAUCUGAAUUGUACUUACAUCUGAAGAAGAAUAUAAUGCAUAAAGAACUGUUUAAAACAGUUUUGUGUCCAUAAUGCUUUCACUUACUGUAAAUGUAUUAUAUUUUGUGUGUACAAUAUUUGGCAUAAAAUUAUUCACUUUUA